rnacentral:rRNA from 1 species
GGUAGUCCACGCUGUAAACGAUGUCGAUUUGGAGGUUGUGCCCUUGAGGCGUGGCUUCCGGAGCUAACGCGUUAAAUCGACCGCCUGGGGAGUACGGCCGCAAGGUUAAAACUCAAAUGAAUUGACGGGGGCCCGCACAAGCGGUGGAGCAUGUGGUUUAAUUCGAUGCAACGCGAAGAACCUUACCUACUCUUGACAUCCAGAGAACUUAGCAGAGAUGCUUUGGUGCCUUCGGGAACUCUGAGACAGGUGCUGCAUGGCUGUCGUCAGCUCGUGUUGUGAAAUGUUGGGUUAAGUCCCGCAACGAGCGCAACCCUUAUCCUUUGUUGCCAGCGGUUCGGCCGGGAACUCAAAGGAGACUGCCAGUGAUAAACUGGAGGAAGGUGGGGAUGACGUCAAGUCAUCAUGGCCCUUACGAGUAGGGCUACACACGUGCUACAAUGGCAUAUACAAAGAGAAGCGACCUCGCGAGAGCAAGCGGACCUCAUAAAGUAUGUCGUAGUCCGGAUUGGAGUCUGCAACUCGACUCCAUGAAGUCGGAAUCGCUAGUAAUCGUAGAUCAGAAUGCUACGGUGAAUACGUUCCCGGGCCUUGUACACACCGCCCGUCAACCAUGGGGAGUGGGUUGCAAAAGAAGUAGGUAGCUUAACCUUCGGGAGGGCGCUUACCACUUUGUGAUU